CGCCAUUUUGACCCGUUAGCGUCGUUGUUUACACCAUCGCCUUCGUUACAGUAACGAGGUAAAGAGUGGACAUUAGCAGAUCUUCCUCUUCUCUUUCAGAACACUGUCUUAAUGUCCUGUGUGAUGUUCUGUGUGUGGACAAUGUUAAUGUGUAACUCUGAUUGGCCUGGAUCCUGGUGGCCUCCAUGGACAGUUGACCCCACUGGCCUAAGACUUGUACCCGUGGCACCUAGUGUCAUGUUAAAAAUGAUGUGAUGUACUGUGUGAGUGCAUUUGAUAAAAGGAAAUAAAAAGAAAUUUAAAAAAAAAAGCAGACUUUUAAGAAGUUAAAAAACUGAACAGGUUUAUAAAUGUGCCAUGUUGAU